rnacentral:lncRNA from 10 species
CUCCUGCCUCAGCCUCCCGAGUAGCUGGGAGUAGAGGCGCCCGCCACCACACCUGGCUAACUUUUUGUAUUUUUAGUGGAGAGGGAGUUUCACCGUUUUAGACAGGAUGGUCUCGAUCUCCUGACCUCCUGAUCCACCCGCCUCUGCCUGCCAAAGUGCUGGGAUUACAGACGUGAGCCACCGCGCCCGGCUGUUUUCUUUUUUUUAACAGGAAAACACAAGCGUGAAGCCUCCAUUUGGGAAGCCUGCAGAAGCCCCAAUCCAAUCACAGCACUGCCAGAGGAUCUUAGAAGUUGAAUAUCAAUUUAAUAACACAUCCUGUUUGGUAAGAGAUUGGGUUCUAACUAUAUUGCCCAAGCUAGAUUCAAACUCUUGGGCUCAAGUGAUCCUCCUGCCUAAGACUCCUUAGUAGCUUGGAACUUCAGAACCAUCUGUCAAUGGCUACUUCAUACUUUAGAUGCUCCAAGAGGAAAAAGUCAUUUCAGAAUUGUAUCCAUAACCCAGUUUCAUUGAAGAUGGAGUCUUCCUUCAGAUUUUCUACAUAGACAAUUAUACCUCUGUGAACAAAGACAGUUUAUUUCUUCCUUCCCAUUUCAAGCACUGGAGGUGUGUGGUUAUCUUGGAGCUCCAGAAUAAUUCACCCCACGAAA